rnacentral:lncRNA from 1 species
UGUUUGCAGGCUUCAGAACUGGAGCAAGUUCCCAACCCACUCCACCUCUUUGCGUAUGUGCAGAAUGAACAUAUUUAUCUCCAGAGACUGGGAUAAUAUAAAUAAAGUCCUUGACCUUCAGAAGAUUCCCAUCUUCCACCAACAGGGCUGACCUUAUAAACAUUCUCAUCCGAAGCUUGCCUGAAGUUAGACAUACACUAUCACAGGACACCAGCAUGGACUACAAACACAACUCCAUGCUGUGGUGAAGACUAGAUUCUUGACUGUACCACAGAAAACAAUUUGGGGUCCUACCUGCCUGUGCAAAGCAGACUUGGGGCUUAUCAGGAAGAGAUUUUAGCAUAGAUCCAAGCAAGGCAGUUAAGAAAGAGAUGCUCAAAGAAACAAGAUAACACAACCCAAGCUUUUUUACUUGAAAAUCCAUAUAAAAGGAGUAUUGUCUACAUGCAGCCAGCCUUCACAGCAAGUGUUAAUUGUGCUGGAAUUCCUGCCUCUGAGCUGGUAUCAACACACUUGCACCCCUGGCGAUUGUACUCCCCACCCUGACCCUUACCUGCAGUCACUGAUUCUACCAGCACGGACUCUCCUUGUCCUUUGCAGCACUGGCUCCUUGAGAAAAGAUGGCUAUCUGGACAGUGGACUCCAUGUUGUCAUUGGAAUUAAGGCAUCACUUUAUGUUUCUGUUCUGCACAGUUCCACUCAUUUCCUCUGAUUGGCAAGCCCCACAAUCUCAUUGUGGCCAAUGAGAAACCCACUCAUCACCUCAAAUGAUCCAGUCAAGAAAAUCCCUAACUGGUCCACCCAGUUGCUUGGGUUUCAGUUGAUUCAAGAUGUAGUCAAGUUGACAACCAAGAUUAGUCAUCAUUGAAAGGUAAAACAUUUUAUCAGUGACAAAAAUGUAUUUUGUAUUGUCUAUAUAGUGUAGUGGGAUUGAACUAUAAAUUUAUUAUUGAUUUCAGCUCAGAGCGUGGCACAUGUCACAUAGAAAGUGCUUGACUAAUGAU